GACGAACGCUGGCGGCGUGCCUAAUACAUGCAAGUAGAACGCUGAAGGAGGAGCUUGCUUCUCUGGAUGAGUUGCGAACGGGUGAGUAACGCGUAGGUAACCUGCCUGGUAGCGGGGGAUAACUAUUGGAAACGAUAGCUAAUACCGCAUAAUAGUAGAUGUUGCAUGACAUUUGCUUAAAAGGUGCAAUUGCAUCACUACAAGAUGGCCCUGCGUUGUAUUAGCUAGUUGGUGAGGUAACGGCUCACCAAGGCAACGAUACAUAGCCGACCUGAGAGGGUGAUCGGCCACACUGGGACUGAGACACGGCCCAGACUCCUACGGGAGGCAGCAGUAGGGAAUCUUCGGCAAUGGACGGAAGUCUGACCGAGCAACGCCGCGGGAGUGAAGAAGGGUUUCGGAUCGUAAAGCUCUGUUGUAAGAGAAGAACGAGUGUGAGAGUGGAAAGUUCACACUGUGACGGUAGCUUACCAGAAAGGGACGGCUAACUACGUG
rnacentral:rRNA from 1 species